rnacentral:rRNA from 1 species
AGUGAACGCUGGCGGUAGGCCUAACACAUGCAAGUCGAACGGCAGCACGGUCUAGCUUGCUAGACGGGUGGCAAGUGGCGAACGGGUGAGUAACGCGUAGGAAUAUACCUUGAAGUGGGGGACAACCUGGGGAAACUCAGGCUAAUACCGCGUAAUCUCUUCGGAGGGAAGCUGGGGACCGCAAGGCCUGGCGCUUUAAGAUUAGCCUGCGUCCGAUUAGCUAGUUGGUGGGGUAAAGGCCUACCAAGGCGACGAUCGGUAGCUGGUCUGAGAGGAUGAUCAGCCACACUGGGACUGAGACACGGCCCAGACUCCUACGGGAGGCAGCAGUGGGGAAUAUUGGACAAUGGGGGGAACCCUGAUCCAGCAAUGCCGCGUGUGUGAAGAAGGCCUGAGGGUUGUAAAGCACUUUCGGCGGGGAGGAGGAUGAGUUGGUUAAGAGCUGACUUAUUGGACGUUACCCGCAUAAGAAGCACCGGCUAACUACGUGCCAGCCGCCGCUGUAAAAC